AGAAUUGUUAUUUUUCCUUCUCACUGUGCAUUCUCCACAAUCUUCUAUACACUUUCUCCCAAAAAAAACUAAACUUUGAUUUCCCCAAUCUUCUAUAUGAAAACCUAAUUGAUUUUUCCCAAAUCAUUUUCCAUCCAAAAUCGAGAAAUUUUGCCUCCUUCCAUACCUCAUCAUGGAAGUUUCUUCAUCAACCUGGAAUGCCGAACAUAUAAUUAUAUCAUUGUGGUUAUAGAACUGUUACAAAGAGUUCAUGGAUGAAGAACAAUCUAGGAAGACGGUUUUGGAGAUGUAGAUAUUAUGGACGGCCAGAUGCUUGCAACUAUUUUUCUUAGGUCGACCCACCUGUUUAUCCCACGCUACAAGAGUGUAAUAAAUGGCCUAAUCCACCGAUUGAAUGAUAUGUAACAGAAGGAGUGUAUGAUGAGCAAAUCCUUGAAGCCAUAUUAGGUAAGAUUCAGAUUCCUCAUAAGUUACAGUGUUAUCGGUCUUUUUGUGUUUAGUGGGUUCAGCUAUGGAUCGAAUAUGUUGUUUGUUAUUGGUAUUUGGUAGUUGUAUAUUGGUGAUUUAGUUAUACUGAUGGUGUUGUGUAAGUGGUGAUGGUUGUGGAAUCAUCUAAGCAAACCAUAUGUUUUACAGUGUUUAGCCAAAUGUUACUUGUUCC
rnacentral:lncRNA from 1 species